CAUGGUGCCGCUGGUGGCUAGCUGCUCUGUCAUCUGUUGGCCAUCCCUGGGCACAUACAUGGCUGUCCCCACUCUUCCUUGCUGGAGCACUUGUCUGUGGGUUUCCAUGUGGGUGUGAGCUGGCAGGUCCUGGGUGUCCACCAGGAGUGGGGCUGGGGGUCCCUUUCUAGAAUGGCCAUGCUGUUGGCCACCAGCGUUCCCCCAGCAGCAGGAGGUGCCGGUGGCUCCACAGCCGCCCAUGCUGCUUUCAGCUGUUUGGGUUAGAGCCAUGGAGGAGGUAUGAAGUGGGGUUCUGGGUCCCUAAUGCCCAAGGACACGGAGCAUCUUCUCACGCGCUUAAUGGCUAUUUAUACACCUCACUGGGGAGGGUCUACUAAGAUGCGUCCUCUGCCAUUUAAAAGGUGAGGCAUUGGUCUUUUUAUGAUUGAGUCAUGAGAGUUCUUCUGAUAAGAGCUCCUACAACUCCAUCACCAUGCAGUAGCCUGACAUGGAAAGUCAACAAGAGUCACUUCAGAAUCUGGGCAAGUGGCAGCCCUCUGACAAUCCACCUGGGGGGCCGUGCUCGUCAUCUUUGACACUAGUACCUGGCACCACCUGGCCAGCAUUG
rnacentral:lncRNA from 1 species